GGUUGUGGCUCAGUGGUAGAGCACUCGCCUUGAGCAUGCAUGAGGCACUGGGUUCAAUCUUCAGCACCA
rnacentral:tRNA from 1 species